rnacentral:rRNA from 1 species
GGCAGCCGCGGUAAUUCCAGCUCCAAUAGCGUAUAUUAAAGUUGUUGCAGUUAAAAAGCUCGUAGUUGAAUUUCGGGAUCAAUACGUCGGUCGUGCCUCUGGUAUGAACUGGCGUCGUUGAUUUCUCCUUUCUGAGGAACCAUGAUGUCAUUAAUUUGAUGUCGUGGGAAAUCAGGACUGUUACUUUGAAAAAAUUAGAGUGUUUAAAGCAGGCUCGCGCUUGAAUACAUUAGCA